UACGUGAGGGGCAAGCGUUGUCCGGAAUCAUUGGGCGUAAAGAGCGUGUAGGCGGCCCGGUAAGUCCGCUGUGAAAGUCCAGGGCUCAACCCUGGGAUGCCGGUGGAUACUGUCGGGCUCGAGUCCGGAAGAGGAGUGUGGAAUUCCUGGUGUAGCGGUGAAAUGCGCAGAUAUCAGGAGGAACACCAAUGGCGAAGGCAGCACUCUGGGACGUGACUGACGCUGAGACGCGAAAGCGUGGGGAGCAAACAGG
rnacentral:rRNA from 1 species